ACACCCAAGUGUGUGUUCUGGUCGUGAGUUCUAACAGGAGAAAAAGGGGUUUCCCUAAUGAACCCUAAAAUACACAAAAUCAACCAAAUCAAGAGGGCAAAUCAAGUCUAAAUCGAAAACCAAGCUAGGAUUAGUGAUCACUCGGGCUAGAGGAUCACAAGUUUGACACUAAACAAGCUAGGAAGGAGCUUGGAAAGAAACGGGUCAAACGGAUGAUGAUUGCGAAGAACGUUUGUGCGGACGCGAGGUGAAUGUUAUAUGCUUCCGGAUGAAGAUCAAGCCACGAGCAAGAACCGAACACAUCUCUCAAUGAAGCUUCCGCAUUCGAUCUUGUUUUGUUUUAAUAAAAGUGGAUUAUGUAAACACUUUUAACGAUGUUUUGGAUGUUGUAAACAUGUUUAAAUACUUAUGAUGUAAAAGUUUUGUUAAGUGGCAUUUUUCAUAUAAAAUGCUUACUUUAA